GUGCCAGCAGCNGCGGUAAUACGUAGGUGGCAAGCGUUGUCCGGAUUUAUUGGGCGUAAAGCGAGCGCAGGCGGUUUCUUAAGUCUGAUGUGAAAGCCCCCGGCUUAACCGGGGAGGGUCAUUGGAAACUGGGAGACUUGAGUGCAGAAGAGGAGAGUGAAUUCCAUGUGUAGCGGUGAAAUGCGUAGAUAUAUGGAGGAACACCAGUGGCGAAGGCGGCUCUCUGGUCUGUAACUGACGCUGAGGCUCGAAAGCGUGGGGAGCGAACAGGAUUAGAUACCCUGGUAGUCCACGCCGUAAACGAUGAGUGCUAAGUGUUGGAGGGUUUCCGCCCUUCAGUGCUGCAGCAAACGCAUUAAGCACUCCGCCUGGGGAGUACGACCGCAAGGUUGAAACUCAAAGGAAUUGACGGGGGCCCGCACAAGCGGUGGAGCAUGUGGUUUAAUUCGAAGCAACGCGAAGAACCUUACCAGGUCUUGACAUCCUUUGACCACUCUAGAGAUAGAGCUUUCCCUUUGGGGACAAAGUGACAGGUGGUGCAUGGUUGUCGUCAGCUCGUGUCGUGAGAUGUUGGGUUAAGUCCCGCAACGAGCGCAACCCUUAUUGUUAGUUGCCAUCAUUUAGUUGGGCACUCUAGCGAGACUGCCGGUGACAAACCGGAGGAAGGUGGGGAUGACGUCAAAUCAUCAUGCCCCUUAUGACCUGGGCUACACACGUGCUACAAUGGGAAGUACAACGAGUUGCGAAGUCGCGAGGCUAAGCUAAUCUCUUAAAACUUCUCUCAGUUCGGAUUGUAGGCUGCAACUCGCCUACAUGAAGCCGGAAUCGCUAGUAAUCGCGGAUCAGCACGCCGCGGUGAAUACGUUCCCGGGCCUUGUACACACCGCCCGU
rnacentral:rRNA from 1 species